AGUUCAUCCGCCACGGAAUUGAUAUCCCGACGUGGAGUAUUUUCACGACAUCAUUAUGGUUCAGUUGAUCAGUUACCCCAAACAGAUUUGGAUGGCAUUGAUCCCAACUUUAAACGAUUUCGUGUUGAAAAUGGAGAAUCUCUUGCUGAAAAAGAUGAGGUAUUCGGCUCGCCCAGUACACCAAUAUUGGAAAAUCCCGAACAUCAGACACGUUGGUAUUUCAAAUAUUUUUUGGGCAAAU